rnacentral:rRNA from 1 species
UACGUAGGGUGCAAGCGUUGUCCGGAAUUAUUGGGCGUAAAGAGCUCGUAGGCGGUUUGUUGCGUCGGCUGUGAAAUCCCGAGGCUCAACCUCGGGUCUGCAGUCGAUACGAGCAAACUAGAGUGUUGCAGGGGAGACUGGAAUUCCUGGUGUAGCGGUGAAAUGCGCAGAUAUCGAGAGGAACACCGGUGGCGAAGGCGGCCUUCUGGACAGUGACUGACGCUGGAGACGCGAAAGCCGUGGGGAGCAAACAGG